AUUAAACGCUGGCGGCAGGCCUAACACAUGCAAGUCGAGCGAGCGGCGGACGGGUGAGUAAUGCCUGGGAAACUGCCUGAUGGAGGGGGAUAACUACUGGAAACCGUAGCUAAUACCGCAUACCAUCAGAUGUGCCCAGAUGGGAUUAGCUAGUUGGUGGGGUAAUGGCUCACCUAGGCGACGAUCCCUAGCUGGUCUGAGAGGGUGACCAGCCACACUGGAACUGAGACACGGUCCAGACUCCUACGGGAGGCAGCAGUGGGGAAUAUUGCACAAUGGGCGCAAGCCUGAUGCAGCCAUGCCGCGUGUGUGAAGAAGGCCUUCGGAUUGUAAAGCACUUUCAGCGGGGAGGCGUUACCCGAAGAAGAAGCACCGGCUAACUCCGUGCCAGCCGCCGCGGUAAUAC
rnacentral:rRNA from 1 species